rnacentral:hammerhead_ribozyme from 1 species
AUCCAAGUGACGAGUCCCAAAUAGGACGAAAUGCGCAUCUUGGAU